rnacentral:rRNA from 1 species
UGAGGAAUAUUGGUCAAUGGGCGCAAGCCUGAACCAGCCAUCCCGCGUGCAGGAAGACGGCGCUAUGCGUUGUAAACUGCUUUUCCAGGGAGAGAAACUUGCGCACGUGUUGCGCAAUUGACGGUACCCUGGGAAUAAGCAUCGGCUAACUCCGUGCCAGCAGCCGCGGUAAUACGGAGGAUGCGAGCAUUAUCCGGAUUCAUUGGGUUUAAAGGGUGCGUAGGCGGACUAUUAAGUCAGUGGUGAAAUCCUGCAGCUUAACUGCGGAACUGCCAUUGAUACUGAUAGCCUUGAGUUUGGUUAAGGUAGGAGGAAUGUGUAAUGUAGCGGUGAAAUGCGUAGAUAUUACACAGAACACCAAUUGCGUAGGCAGCUUACUGAGCCGACACUGACGCUGAGGCACGAAAGCGUGGGGAUCGAACAG